rnacentral:rRNA from 1 species
UACAGAGGUCUCAAGCGUUGUUCGGAUUCAUUGGGCAUAAAGGGUGCGUAGGCGGCGCGGUAAGUCGGGUGUGAAAUCUUGGAGCUUAACUCCGAAACUGCAUUCGAUACUGCCGUGCUUGAGGACUGGAGAGGAGACUGGAAUUCAUGGUGUAGCAGUGAAAUGCGUAGAGAUCAUGAGGAAGACCAGUGGCGAAAGCGGCUCACUGGACCAUAACUGACGCUGAGGCGCGAAAGCUAGGGGAGCAAACAGG